rnacentral:rRNA from 2 species
CAGGAUUUUCAAAUAACUUAGCGGCGGACGGGUGAGUAACGUGUGGGCAACCUGCCCUGUACUGUGGGAUAAUCACGGGAAACUGUGACUAAUACCGCAUAAUAUCACUACGAGGCAUCUCGAAGUGAAGAAAGGAUUUAUUCGGUACAGGAUGGGCCCGCAUCUGAUUAGCUAGUUGGUGAGAUAACAGCCCACCAAGGCGACGAUCAGUAGCCGACCUGAGAGGGUGAUCGGCCACAUUGGGACUGAGACACGGCCCAAACUCC